GGCCAAUCUUCCUCACCAAAGGGAAAAAAACCCACCAGCCUUGAGAGUAAACCACAUUGUCCUUCCAAAAUCCUAGUUCCUCUGAGUUACACAUCCUACUAUAUACCAACUCACAUACGAACAAUAUGCAGAUGUUCUUUGAACCCAGGUUAUAAAAGAUCCCUAUUUAUAAAAAGUUCUUAAUCAUAUUCACAAAAUUCCUUACAUAUUCUAAAAGUUUUCAGAACUAUUCUUUUUCUGGUCCUACUGGUCUCUAAGUCAACACAGAACACUUGUUAAGAUUUCCUUUUAAUUUGACAUUGUUUUAUUUUGCAUAAUCGUUGCCUAUAUAAAAGUCUAUCAGUUUUUGACUUUUUAAAAGAUAUUAUUUUUUUUAAAUAUAUGAUUUCCUGCCUCUUCAACAUGAGUGAAUACACGAGCAUAUAAUCCUCUUUCAAACCACAACUAUUAGGAUGGGGCAAAAAUUGAAAGGAAAUGGUGAUUUUCCACCAGUGGGCUACUUAGUGUUGUUUCAUAUUUAACUUUCUCAUCACCAGGGAAACACGGGCUGUUUUUGAUGAUUUUUAAAAACUAGUGAUUGAAAAGCUGGUUUUGUCUCUAAGGGACCUUCUUUGAGGAGUGUGUGAUUCCUAAGACUCUGCAUUCGUUAGUUGGUCACCAGAAAGUGACAGAGGAGCCUUUAUAGCGAGCUGACUUUUCUGAGGUUUCAUUUUACGUUUCAAGAGCUGUGUGUUCUAACAUCACUCAACUGAAAAGAGAUCCUGUAGGUGUAAUAAGGAGGAGAGUAAAAGAGAUGAAACAGCUGGCCUGUGGUAGCCACAUUUAAGAGCUCCAGAACUCCCCAGUAUUCCAAGGAAUUAUGACAUGCGUGAUAAUUCCUAAGAGUAUAAUCAUUCCUUCCGAGGGAGAAGCCACAGCAGUAACCAAAAAGUGAGCUAGGACCCAGAAAAGGGCUAUCUGUUUAGCACCUGAAGAAAAAAACCAAAUUACCCCCAAAUCUAAACUAAGAUCUUCAUCUUCUAAAGAACUUAAAAACCUCGUACUUCUAAGAUAACUCCCUGGCCCCAUUCCAACUGCUACGUGACCUUGCAGAAACCUCUUUUGAAGUUUUCUGUGUCUAUAAAACCUGGAUAAUAAUACUCUCUGUCCCAGAUGGCUGGAAUUGUAUGAAUUAAUUAGUUCAAGCUGGAAAGGUCUCUGAUAAUGAACGAGUGCCGGCUAGCUCGCUUGAAGAUGAGAGACCAUGUGGAGCAGAGCUGAACUGGUCCGUCUGAGGCCAACCCAGCAGAGCCAGCCUCCAGCUGACCAGGAAGCUGAUCACAGACCCAUGAGCGAGCCCAGCAAAGAUCAGCAUAGUGCAGCCCUGAUCAGCCAGCAAAACUACCCAGCCAACUUGUAGAUUUGUCAUAAUCAGCACACCUGUUGAAGUUCUCACUGCCAUCAGAUCGUCUCUGAAUUACAGUCCAUCCUCCUCCAUCAGACAUGUCACAAUAAACGGAGAAUUCUGCUGGGCUCUCGAGAGGUUUGAUUUUGUAAAAUCCACUGCGCUUAUACCCAUCAUUGAAAAUCUCUGAACAAUCUGUUUGCAAAACAAGGUCUGCUCCCAGCACUCUCAACACAGGGAUCAGAUUUUCAGCUCUUCAGCCUCAGUCUUCUCAUGACUCGCGGCCCAGUCCCAGUAACAACAUCCAGUUGCUCGCUCCUGCCAUUAUCUGACACUUGAAUCUGUGUUGACAGCCUGCUCAUACUGUUUGAACAGACACCCUGGGUCUUGAUCUUGAUUUGGAAUGUGGACUAUGUUACUUCUCCUGCGGCCAUCAGUUCCUUCCCUUGAGGUCAAUGACGCUAUUCUCCUCUCCUUUAUCGAGGAGCUGGACUUCCUUCUCGUGCAAAAGCUGCGCAAUCUUGACUUGUUGCUGUUUGACCCGGGUCUCAAGCUGGUGCACCUGGGCUCGGAGCCGCGCCUGCUCCUGGAGACAGUUCUCGAGAGCCUGCGAAGCAACACACAUCUCGUUCUCAUGGAAAGUAAAUGCUCUGAAUGUCAGAUAAAUUAAUGAUUCAAUUUUGGCCCUAACUCACAUUUUAGAAUAUUGUUCUAACCGGAAAGUAGUUUGAAAGUUCUAAUACUAUUUAUUGUUUGAAGAAUAAGAAAUGACGGCUUAUGCAAAAGUGCUUGGACUAAAAAAUUAUAUAAAAUAAUGUAAAUGACUACA